rnacentral:lncRNA from 1 species
GGGCGUAGGCGGGGACAGAGGUGCUGGCGCCAGGCGCUCUGCGGGCAGGGCCAGAGGCGCGGGGACCGAGGCGAGGACGGAGGCAUACGGCGCGCAGGAGCAUAGGCGUGGGGCCCGAGGCCCGGUCGGUUUGCACAACAUUGGACAGACCUGCUGCCUUAACUCCCUGAUUCAGGUGCUGAUUAUGAAUGUGGGAUUAACCAGAUACUGAAGAGGUAAGACUAUGUUCAGGCAG